rnacentral:rRNA from 1 species
UACGUAGGGUGCAAGCGUCAAUCGGAAUUACUGGGCGUAAAGCGUGCGCAGGCGGUUUUGUAAGUCUGUCGUGAAAGCCCCGGGCUCAACCUGGGAAUGGCGAUGGAGACUGCAAGGCUAGAGUGUGUCAGAGGGGGGUAGAAUUCCACGUGUAGCAGUGAAAUGCGUAGAGAUGUGGAGGAACACCGAUGGCGAAGGCAGCCCCCUGGGAUAACACUGACGCUCAUGCACGAAAGCGUGGGGAGCAAACAGG